rnacentral:rRNA from 1 species
GAUGAACGCUGGCGGCGUGCCUAAUACAUGCAAGUCGAGCGAACGGACGAGAAGCUUGCUUCUCUGAUGUUAGCGGCGGACGGGUGAGUAACACGUGGAUAACCUACCUAUAAGACUGGGAUAACUUCGGGAAACCGGAGCUAAUACCGGAUAAUAUUUUGAACCGCAGGGUUCAAAAGUGAAAGACGGUCUUGCUGUCACUUAUAGAUGGCUCCGCGCUGGAUUGGCUGGUUGGUAAGGUAACGGCUUACGAAGGCAACGAUGCAUAGCCGACCUGAGGGGGGGAUCGGCCACACUGGAGCUGAGACGCCGUCCUGGCUCCUACGGGAGGCAGCAGUAGGGAAUCGUGCGCACUGGGGGGAAGCCUGCCGGAGCGGCGGCGCGUGGGUGCUGAAGGUCUUCGGGUCGUAAGACUGUGUUAUUGGUGAAGAACAUAUGUGUCAGUGGCUGUGCACAUCGUGACGGUACCUGAUCAAGAAGCACCGGCUAACUACGUG